CUGCGUGCAUUGUUGUUUCUGCUCUGUCUGGAUUCCGCCGCUGGCAGUGAACCUCGGGGCCAGGAGCCGUGUCUUGUUAGUGCACCGUCAUACACAGCGCCCAGUACUUAAUAACUGCUUUUGAAUGAAUGAUGAGGAAACAGACUUGGAGAGGUUAAUCAAUCUGCCCAAGGUCAAAAGGUGGUAAGUUUUGCUCCAGGCCUGUGUGUUUAGACUCUUGCUACCUAAAUGGACAACGAAGCUAACCAUCUUACCAGCACCCCUGUGGAGAGGGGCUUCCCAUUCAUCCCUCCCGGUACCACCUGGACAAGGAGUGGGAUAGUGUCAGCUCAGCUGUAGAGCUUUGUGAAAGAUCUCUGGGCACCACCCCAGACCAAUAAAGACCACUUUCUCUGAGGGGGUGGCA